GAAUUUUUUGUGUUUAUCUCAAAUAUUUUGGGGUUUUUCCUUCUCCCUUCUCUUCCAGACUUUCUGAAGCCACAAUUCCAGAUUUCCCUUGGAGUUUUUUCCCAAUUUUUGGAGUUUUCUUCUCAAAAUUUCUGAUUUUUUUCCCCAGUUCAAAUUCCAAACUGGAGCUUUUUGGGCCAUUUUUUGGGGGAAUUUUUGGGAUUUCUCCCAAAUAUUUUGGGGUUCCCGCCCCUUUAUCUCUGGGAAUGAAAUUUUAUUUUCUGGGAAUGAAAUUCUCAAAUUCCCUCCGAGUUUUUCCCAUUUUUUGGGGUUUUCAGCCCAAAAUCUGGGCCCUUUCCAGUUACAAAUUGAGAAUUUUUGAACGUUUUCUUUGGGAAUUUUUGGGAUUUCUCCCCAAUUUUUGGGUUUCCCACCCUUUAUUUCAUUCCAGACUUUCUGAGGGUGAAAUCCCAAAAUUCCCCCUCAGGUUUUUCCCAUUUUUCGCCGUUUUCACCCCAAAUUCCCCCAAUAAAAAUCUGCAGCAGCUCCUUCCUUUCUGGGCUCGUUUCUUUGGGAAUUUCUUGGGAAUUUCGGGGUCUUUUCCCAGAAUUUUGGGGUUCCCGCCCUCCCUUCUCUUUCUGCACUUCCUGACCUCGGAAUUCUGAAUUUUCCCCCAAUAAAAGCAGCGACACUUCUGUGGUUUCUGGACCCUUCUUUUGGGAAUUUCACUGGAAAUUUUUUGGGAAUUUCUUGGGAAUUUCGGGAUCUUUGCCCCAAAUAUUUUGGGUUUCUGUUUUUUUCUUUUCCCGCACUAUUUUAGGAGCAGAAUCUCGAAUUUUCCACCCCUUUUUUUACCUUUUUCUUCCCGUUUUUCCCCCAAUAACAACACCGACACCUCCCUCGUUUCUGGGCUGGUUUUUUGGGGGGAUUUUCGCAGGAAUUUCACUGAAAUUUCCCCGGAAUUUGUUCCGGAAGUUUCUGUCUCAGAGCCGGAGCACGCAGGAGUUGCCGUGGGUCAGGGUUUGUUCCGGAAGGUUCCAGAAGGUUCUCUCUCUCUCACAACCGCAGCACGUAGCUGUCGCUGUGGGUCAGGUUCUGCAGUCGCUGUGGGUCAGGUUGGUUCCGGAAGGUUCUAGAAGGUUCCAGAAAGUUCUGUCACAGCCUGAGCACGUAGCUGUCACUGUGGGUGAGGUUUGUUCCGGAAGGUUCCGGAAGGUUCCAGAACGUUCUCUCUCACAGCCGCAGCACGUAGGAGUCGCUGUGGGUCAGGGUUGUUCUGGAAGGUUCUCUCACAGCUGCAGCACAUACGAAUCACUGUGGGUGAGGUUUGUUCCGGAAGGUUCUGGAAGGUUCCAGAAUGUUCUCUCUCUCACAACCGCAGCACGUAGGAGUCGCUGUGUGUGAGGUAGCGCACCCAGCGCUUCUGGAAGGUUCCGGAACGUUCUCUCACAGCCUGAGCACAUAGGAAUCACUGUGGGUGAGGUUUGUUCCGGAACGUUCUCUCACAGCCUGAGCACGUAGGAGUCGCUGUGUGUGAGGUAGCGCACCCAGCGCUCCUGGAAGGUUCCGGAAGGUUCCGGAAGGUUCUCUCUCUCACAACCUCAGCACGUAGCUGUCGCUGUGUGUGAGGUAGCGCACCCAGCGCUCCUGGAAGGUUCCGGAAGGUUCCGGAAGGUUCACAAUCGCAGCACAUAGGAAUCGCUGUGUGUGAGGUAGCGCACCCAGCGCUGCCCGGCCCCGCC